rnacentral:rRNA from 1 species
GUCGCUAGCCAUGCGAGUCAUAUGUUCUUCGUGAACAUGGCGUACUGCUCAGUAACACGUGGAUAACCUGCCCUUGGGUCCGGCAUAACCCCGGGAAACUGGGGAUAAUUCCGGAUAACGCAUAUAUGCUGGAAUGCUUUCUGCGUAAAAUGGAUUCGUCUGCCCAAGGAUGGGUCUGCGGCCUAUCAGGUAGUAGUGGGUGUAAUGUACCUACUAGCCGACGACGGGUACGGGUUGUGAGAGCAAGGGCCCGGAGAUGGAUUCUGAGACAUGAAUCCAGGCCCUACGGGGCGCAGCAGGCGCGAAAACUUUACAAUGCGGGAAACCGUGAUAAGGGGACACCGAGUGCCAGCAUCAUAUGCUGGCUGUCCGGGUGUGUAAAAUACACCCGUUAGCAAGGGCCGGGCAAGACCGGUGCCAGCCGCCGCGGUAACACCGGCGGCCCGAGUGGUGAUCGUGAUUAUUGGGUCUAAAGGGUCCGUAGCCGGUUUGGUCAGUCCUCCGGGAAAUCUGAUAGCUCAACUAUUAGGCUUUCGGGGGAUACUGCCAGGCUUGGAACCGGGAGAGGUAAGAGGUACUACAGGGGUAGGAGUGAAAUCUUGUAAUCCCUGUGGGACCACCUGUGGCGAAGGCGUCUUACCAGAACGGGUUCGACGGUGAGGGACGAAAGCUGGGGGCACGAACCGGAUUAGAUACCCGGGUAGUCCCAGCCGUAAACGAUGCUCGCUAGGUGUCAGGCAUGGCGCGACCGUGUCUGGUGCCGCAGGGAAGCCGUGAAGCGAGCCACCUGGGAAGUACGGCCGCAAGGCUGAAACUUAAAGGAAUUGGCGGGGGAGCACAACAACGGGUGGAGCCUGCGGUUUAAUUGGACUCAACGCCGGACAACUCACCGGGGGGCGACAGCAAUAUGUAGGCCAAGCUGAAGGCUUUGCCUGAA